rnacentral:rRNA from 1 species
UGGGGAAUUGUUCGCAAUGGGCGCAAGCCUGACGACGCAACGCCGCGUGGAGGAUGAAGAUCUUCGGGUCGUAAACUCCUGUCGAAUGGGACGAACAGGUCGUGGGUGAACAACCCGCGAUCCUGACGGUACCGUUAAAGGAAACCCCGGCUAACUCCGUGCCAGCAGCCGCGGUAAUACGGGGGGGGUAAGCGUUGUUCGGAAUUACUGGGCGUAAAGGGCUCGUAGGCGGCCAACUAAGUCAGACGUGAAAUCCCUCAGCUUAACUGGGGAACUGCGUCUGAUACUGGAUGGCUUGGAUUCGGGAGAGGAAUGCGGAAUUCCAGGUGUAGCGGUGAAAUGCGUAGAUAUCUGGAGGAACACCGGUGGCGAAGGCGGCAUUCUGGACCGACAUUGACGCUGAGGAGCGAAAGCCAGGGGAGCAAACGGGAUUAGAUACCCCCGUAGUCC